rfam:Amphibacillus xylanus NBRC 15112 DNA, complete genome.
UUUAGUGACAAUAGCGAAGAGGUCACACCUGUUUCCAUACCGAACACAGAAGUUAAGCUCUUCAGCGCCGAUGGUAGUUGGGUCUUCCCUGCGAGAGUAGGACGUCGCUAAGC